GGGCCCUGAGGGUGGGAGCACCCUCAGGGCACUAUAGUGCCAGGAAAAAAAGUAUGUUUUCUUGGCACUAUAGUGGUCCUUUAACCCUAGAUGGACCUGGCACCCAGACCACUUCAUUGAGCUGAAGUAGUCUGGGUGCCUAUAGUGGUCCUUUUAAGGAAAAUAGUUAAAGAUAAAUGAAUUUAGUUGUUCUGAUUUACAGAAUAUAUAAUGUGUCUAGGUUUUUAAAGGGACACCUGAACAACUUUAGCUUAAUUAAGUAGUUUUGGUGUAUAGAACAUGCCCCUGCAGCCUCGCAAUCCUCUGCCAUUUAGGAGUUAAAUCCCUUUGUUUAUGAACCAUAGUCACAACUCCCUGCAUGUGACUUGCACAGCCUUCCAUAAACACUUCCUGUAAAGAGAGCCCUAUUUAAGCUUUCUUUAUUGCAAGUUCUGUUUAAUUAAGAUUUUCUUAUCCCCUGCUAUGUUAAUAGCUUGCUAGACCCUGCAAGAGCCUCCUGUAUGUGAUUAAAGUUCAAUUUAGAGAUUGAGAUACAAUUAUUUAAGGUAAAUUACAUCUGUUUGAAAGUGAAACCAGUUUUAUUUUCAUGCAGGCUCUGUCAGUCAUAGCCAGGGGAGGUGUGGCUAGGGCUGCAUUAACAGAAACAAAGUGAUUUAACUCCUCAAUGACAGUGAAUUGAGCAGUGAAAUUGCAGGGGAAUGAUCUAUACACUAAAACGGAUUUAUUUAGCUAAAGAAAUUUAGGUGACUAUAAUGUUCCUUUAAGUUUUGGGGUUUUUUUUGUUUUGUUUUUGGUAGUUACAGGUCACAAAACACAAGGAGUAAAAUAAACUUUUAAUUUGGAACGAUUUUUAGAAUUUGGUAUGUUUGUCUUGUAAGCUUAAUAGCCAUAAAAGAAAACAAAAUUGCUGCACAAAAAUAUAUUUAUAUAAAGUAGACAUCACAGGCUAUUUACCUAAGGUCAUUUUGAUACUUUUUACGUCGCCAUUUCACCGCCAAUCUCUGCUAAAUAUUGGAGUAGCAUUGUGAUUGUUUUUGGUUUUUGACAUACAAACUUUUCUCAUGUGUAUUUUGUAAAGUUGGUGUGUGCUAUUCCUGUACAAAACUUUAUUUUGUGUUCCGCUACAUCUGCGGAGUAAAAUGAAACCCCCAUUGUAUAUAUUUGGUACUAUUUUGUUAAGCUAUAGUGCCACAUAGGAGACCUGUCCAUUUCAGUAUUUACAGUUGAAUUUUGAGAUUAAUUUUUUGGGCCUAUGCUUCAAUUUGGGGUAUUAUAGUAGUUUGACUGUUCCAAAAACCCCACAAAGGCCUACCAUUUGUAAACGUAGACACUCCAGGGUAUCUCAUAUUGUGCUUUAACAUGCCCCCAUUUUUUUAACAAUAUAUGUAAAAGUAUGUGGUAAAAAAAAAAAAAAAAUUGGGGGCAGUUUUUUUACAUACGAAUUACAUUUUUGCUGGGCAUUUUGUAUAUUUGAUAAGUGCCACUAUGAUCAAAGCCCCAAAUUUAUUCUCAGCCAAGUCUAAGUAAAAUGAUACCCCCAAUGAAUGUCUUUGGCACUAUUUUGUGAAGCUUCAGUGCCAUAUAGGAGACCUGUCCAUCUCAGUAUUUACAGUAGAAUUUGAGAGACUGAUUUGAUGAGUCCAUGUUUCAAUUUGGGGCAUUAUAGCAGUUUGACACAAACGCCUACCAUUUGUAAAAGUAGACCCCCCACGGUAUUUCAAAAGGCAUAUUUUAAACCUUAUGUGUACCUUUUUCAGGGAUAUGUGGAUGUUGAAGGGGCACACUGGAGACCAAGCCAUAUUGGUUUUUACCAAACUUUGAAUUUUGACGCUGGGCCAAUAUGCGAUUUUAGCAGGUUUUUAAUUCAAACUACCCCACAAAAGCCUACCAUUUUUUAAAGUAGACACUCCAGGGUAUAUCAAAAGGCAUAUUUUAAACCUUAGUGUAGGAUAAUUCUAAUGCUAGUUUGUACCAAGUAUAGUUGGAAUUACCAUUUUCCUGCCUUUUUGACACACACUUGGAGAUCUUACUGUAUAUUUUGCAAUCCCCAUGUGUGCUACGGCAGUAUGUCACCUAAUAUGUUGCUCAGCUAUGUCGUCUUAGUACAACAAUAACUUCAUGUGUACCUGUGACGGACCGCCUGGCACCCCGACCAGGUGCCUCUGCCAAUCAAUGCUCCUAGUGCUCACCGAGGACUCCAAGCACUCCACCAGACCCCAUCAGCACUGUAGUCCGCACUUCCAGCGUUACAGCUUGUCUGGGGUCAUGCCGUCCUCAGCCCACCCUGGACCCAAGACCAGGAUCCAGCUUCCAGUGGUUGAACCUCUCCUACUCCAGAGAGUAUAGCAGGAACAUCUCUCAUAAGAGCUAGUGAUUAUAGCAAUCCAAAGAACAAUCCCAAGAGCAGGGAUUAUAGCUGCUAUUGCUUUCCCCUACAAGCACAAGACGAGGCUCUGUGUUAAGGGUAAACAGGAACUCAUUUUAAUUGUGCCACACUUGACCUUAUAUGACAAUCCCCAUGCAAGGAGCACUCCAACAUGGACCUUAUUGUAGACUUACAAAGUCACGGACCAAUAAUAAGUGUUACAAUGCAUGACACUCCCACACAUAGCAUACAAUCCCUCCCCUCUGCCUGGGAGAUAAUUGAGUCAGAUACUGUGUUAACUCAAUUAUCUCUAGGCAGAAAAAACACAUUUUACAGAAACACCCCACAAAUGUUACAUCCCCUGAUAGCCCUGAUCUGGGUGACCAACAUAUCCAAAACUUACCCAGAUCAGUUCAGGGGUUCACGAAUUUCCUGGAAGUCUUAUUUUGACCGACCGCACGCUUGGUUCCAUGCCCAAAACAGUUCCAGGUAAUCCGUCUACUUCAGGGAUUCGAAGUGCAAUAUAAAACGUAGAGAGUGGACUAUCUCUCCUUCGGGAGCUUAUUCUCACCAAACGCCAUUUGACUCCCAUUCGAAUAACCGAACAUCUGUGGAAGGUAAGUAGUGAGCAUUGUUCGUGCCGUCGAGUGUCCGAUUUGAGUUCCAUGUACUCGACGACCAAACACCACUUAUUGUGCUCGCGGCUUAAGAUGGCCGCCGCCACGUUUUUGAAUGCCGUUUUGAACCGCUUCGGGAGUUCGAAGUGCUGCUUCACAAACCGUUUAUUACAGGGGCCAUAGUCACAGAGCAGGAGGCUGGCAAACAGGCUCCUCCAAUCGCCACAGUACCUUUUUCAGGGAUAUGUGGAUGUUGUAGGGGCACAUUUGAGACACACCAAUUUCAUAUUUUUCAAACGUGGAUGUUGGGCCUAAGUCUCAUUUUAGCAGCUGAUGAUUGCAAAUUACCUCUCAAAGGCCACAUCUAUUUUUAAAUAUAAGCAGCUCAUCAAUUCAAAUUAUGAACAAGUGCAUACUAUUUGCUGUAAAAGGGGGGUUUUGGUUUAAAUGGAAAUAUUAAAUGUUCUAUUAUGGCCUUAUAUACCUCACCAACUGCUAAGGUGGUAGGGGCCAGAUUUUCCUCUGAAUGGUUCCAAUUAAAGAAUGGAACCAGACAGGGGUGCCCGCUCUCACCACUUAUAUCUUAUGGUUAUUGAACCUCUGGCAAAAGCAAUAAGAGCCAACAAUCGAAUAAAAGGACUGCAUAUACCAAACGAUGGUGUCAAAUUAACAAUGUAUGCAGACGACAUUGUUCUUACCCUGAGUGACCCUAUAAGUUCUAUGAGUGAGUUGAUACUUCUUAUGGAAGAGUUAUCAAGUCUCUCAGGUUAUAAAUUGAAUUUAGACAAAUCUGUUGCACUGCCGCUUAAUUUGCUUUGGCAUGUCGUCAAAAACUUAAAGCAGGCUUUUGGCUUCACUGUUCGGGAAUCAUUUAGCUGUUUAGGGAUUGAAAUCACAAGGGAGCCCUCGAAAAUAAUGGAAAUUAACUUCAUGUUGCUACUAAAGGAUACUGGUAAAAAGAAAAUGAAAGAAUGGAGAAAUACUGAAGUUUCAUGGUGGGGGAGAAUAAAUACGGUUAGAUCAUACAUUUUCCCAAAGUGGAUUUACUUGUUUCAAAUGGUCCCUAUAAAAUGUUAAAAUAUUUCUCUACACUAGAUGAAGAAUAUAAUUUAGGAAGCAGAGAAAUCUUUACCUUUAGAAUAAAGAGUUUUUUUUACGUAAACCUCUAGCACUCAAAACCGAUAAAUUGAAUAUUCUGGAAAAAUGUGUGACAAAAACAACAUUAACUAAGUUAAUAGCGGGAUACAUGGAUUUGAUUAGUAAUGAUACCGAGGUAUACAUGAAACCCACUUUCAAUAAAUGGGAAAAAGAUCUAACUAUUCAUCUUUCUCAUAAAGACUGGCUAAAUUCAUGGAAUGUGGUAUACAAAAACAUUCACUGUCUUAACUUAUUGGAGUGUCACUUUAAACUCCUAAAUCGUUGGUUCUUAGUCCCAAGCAGAAUAUCUAAGUACGUCUCAGAUAAAGAAAAUAGAUGUUGGAGAUGCAAACACCAUAUAGAAGACUUUCUUCAUAUAUGGUGGGAGUGCUUCCCUAUCAAAUAUUUUGGGAUAUGAUUUGAAAGUAAGAUCUUAACAAUAACUAGUACUUCCUUUUCUUUCGGUGCCGACCUUGCUUUAUUACAGCUUAAUGUAAAACAAAACUUUAGUAGUUAUACUCAUUUAGUUACUUUUAUACUGGUAGCUGCAAAAAUUAUGAAAGCUAGAGAUUGGAAAGUAUCGGAUACCCCUAUCUGGUUUAUGAUGAAGGAGCAAAUGAAAUACCAACUAAAGAUGGAAGGGGGCAUUAUGACAGAUUCAUACGACAUGAUGAAUGUAUGGUUAACACAAAUAGAACAAGUUUAGAGGACACUUGCUUUUAAAGAUUCUCUCUCCCAGUUAUGAAAACAAUGUCUAGUGUAUGUGUUUAGCUUGUAGUGAAGGCAAGAUUAAGGUUCUCCAGGAACUCCCCUUCCUGAAUAGGGCCUAACCCAACAUCAGAUGAUACAGCUUGGUCAUCUUGUGGUGUCACAUAUGUCCUAUGUUUUGUAGUUUGUCUGCAUGUAUAUUUCUUGCAAUAUGGAUGUAAUGUAUUUUCUACUGAUUUAUCAAUGCUAUACAUGUUGUGGCAAACUUACUUCCCUGUGUGUGUUUGUCCAGGAUCUUUUGGCAACUGCACAGUCCUCUAGGGUAAGGAAGCCCGGCCAAGACAAAGUCCAGUUUCAAAGGACUCUGGCCUGUUUAUUUUCUGUUGUUAAGAAGUAACAGGAUACAACAAGCAGCAAACCUUCUUUCAAGCCCUCUCUCAAUCGAAUAACCCAGAUAUUUUGCCUCUUCCAAACCUAUAGUACGCUUAGAAGGGUUAGCAGUUAAACCAGCUAGGUGGUUAGAGUGCAGUACUGCCUGCACUUUGGGAAGAUGUGAAGCCCAGUCAGAACUGUGAAUGACUAUGUCAUCUAAGUAUGCGGCCGCAUAACGGCUAUGAGGCUUCAAAAUCCUAUCAAUCAGUCUUUUAAAAGUGGCAGGGGCCCCAUGUAACCCAAAUGGUAGCACCUUGUAGUAUUGUAUUGAUGUCGAAAAAAGCAGUUUUUUUCUUUUUGCUCUGUCUGUAAGAGGUACUUGCCAAUAACCCUUUGUCAGGUCCAAAGUAGUCAGGUACCAAGCCUUACCUAGUUCAUCAACCCUAGGCAUUGGAUAAGCACCAAACUUCACCAAAAAUCAUGGGCUACUUUUCCUGGAGCCCCCCACAAGUCUAAAAAUUGGGGGAAAUCCCUUCCCAACACCCUGUCAUAAGCCAAUUUAUCCACCACCCCUGCUCUAUGAUUCACAGUACCAAAAGGGCUUUCAAAUUUCAUCAAAACUGUAGGAUAUUCACAUUUGUCACCAUAAACACAAAUAAUACCAAUUUUCUGAAAUGCAUCAACAUCGGCUUCAGAUACAAGGCAUUUUGUUAUCAAUGUAGCCAUACUGCCGGAGUCUAAUAGAGCUCUAACCUCUUUCCCAUUCACCUUUAUAGAACAUAGCUGCGGAUUGUGACUACAGUUGGCUACAGCAGAUUCCAUAUAAUUCAGCAGACAAGACAAUUGUACAUCCUGAUUAAUCAUAUUGCAUUGCAUAGGUUCAUCAAUCAAGGGACAGUCUCUAGCUUUAUGUCCAAGUUCAUUACACCGGAAACAUUUAAUAUUCUAAUCUGUCCCCCACCUCGACCCUGUUCCAGGUUUAACAUUUCUAGGCAUAAGCGUAUGGGAUCUCUGAGAAUAUGUCUCUUGUUCCUAUGUGUCUCUGAAACCUUGAAAAAUCUUACCAGGUCUUUCAGCAGCUGGAGUCUUAACUCUCUGCAUAGACUUUGUUUUGUUAAGCCACUGUGUCAUUUGCAGCAACAUAUCUUUCCACCAAACUAAUUAACUCAUCGGCUGAUUGUGGAUCACUCUGACUGACUGACUGACCCAUCGACGCAGUGAAUCUGUCCAUCACAAGAAGUUCCAGGAUGUGACUUGCUGUAUUUAUUUCUGGUUGUAGCCACUUUCUAGCAAGAUGUAUCAGGUCAAACAUCUGGGAGCAGAUAGGUUUCUCUUGGUCGAAAGUCCAGGCAUGAAAUCUUUGGGCAUGAACUGCCAUAGUGUCACGUAUUCAUCCGCUUAUAAAAAGGGGAGGGGAAGUGGGGGUGAAG